AAAAUUCUAUGCUCUCAGGGUAGUGAGAGCAACGGAGGCACGGAGGAGAGCUACGAUGGAUAAACUAACGGGCCACGGGAGGACCGCGCUUUGAUUUAUAAUCCGUAGAGAGAUACCAUCUCUUCUGCCAUUCACGAGAGACAAGUGAAAUAAUGGUUAAGGGAUCUCACAACCUCGGAAAUAAACCACCAAUUCGACAUGGAUGUUUCCAAAACAGAGGUUUGAGGUUUGAGCAUCGACAGCGCCUUUUUAGAAACCGGCUGUCUCCGCCUGCUUCGAACGGGGAAUUUGGGAUGAGAAGCAUUUUUCGUUUUCUGUACAGACACAUGUCCUCUCUUCAUAGGUAAAUAAUCUGAUUUAAUUUCCUCGGUAAAACCUAUUCUAUAGGCUAGCCAUAUGCUUCUCAUCCUUUACCGGAACCCUUACUGUUGACUUCCACGCGGAAACGCAGCCCUCCAUUGGAUGGCAAAAGAACCAGGACAAAUUUCCUCACAUUGAAAAGUGGAACCCAUACGAUACUCUGGCAGUAUGUACGAGGAGGAGUCGGUUGCUAUCUUUGGUUAUCUAGCUGUAUGAGUGUUACUCGGCCGUCAUAAAGCUAGCUAACCGAAUGUAGGAAUGUCCUCCAAACCUGCGACUCGGACAGGAAUAAACGGUGUCCAGGAGUAAAGACACAAAAUAACAUAAUUGAUAUGCAAUUACAGGCCAGUACCCCAUUGCCUUUCCGGUAAGUUAUAACAAUUUUCCCUAAUCACUUAUUAUAAACAUCUGUUGAAACACUUAUGAAUUCCUCAAAACCUGAUACAACCCGAAAUUAUUUUUAUGCUUUUUCUUAUUUCAUUUAGAGAAUAUAUUCUCAAAAUAUAAGUAGGAUAAUCUUUAUAGCAUGCCUUUAAAUGGUAAGUCAACAUUUUCAACAAUGGAUUUAAAAUCAUGUUGUGAAUUGAAGUGUAUAUUUGUCCCACUUUUGUUUAGUAUGCUUGGAGCAAGAAAACUCUUUAUAUAUUUAUUUAUUCCAUCAUGCAAGGCAUCUAGAGUGAUUUUGCCGAAAACAUCUUCUAAAACGAAAAAUACUUAAUAAAAAGCCUUUAUUCCGGUCAGAGGAAUACAUAACUUUAUCCAGUCAUAUGAGUGAACUGUAACAAUUGAUUUUCGGGCAUGAAUAAAGCUUUGUCGCAUCAAAGUAUCCGUAGUUGACCUGUAUUCCUUAUAGUUCUCACUGCAUAAAUCAGGUUUACGCACACGCAAACACAUAUUGAAUUAAGGUUUAAUCAGAUGGAUUAAGAUUUGUAGCUCAUAUUGAUAUCAUUCUUGUCUCAGGUGGAAACGUUUUGAUUUUCCAGAAAAUGGCCGAUAUUAGCCUUUAUGACGUAUUUAGGCCUACUGUAGUCCAACUCCUAUGAAAAAGACUGUCCUGAUUAAGAUGAGCUAUGUAGGCUUUACCUACUCCUUGCACUGAAAUUCUGAAAAGCGUAGGCUAAUCAUAUCUUUCAGUCGAUAUUAAGUCAAGCGAUCCAUGUCAUUACAUAACGCAUACUUCCAGUUGUGUUCUCACAUUGAGUUGUGUUGUCUAGAAAGGAAGAACACUUAAGAUGUUCAUGGUUUUGUAGAUUUAAAUGCAUUAUACCUCCCAUGUGAGUCUCACAAUACCUUUACGCAUUGUGCGCACACCUAAUCGGCCCAAAUGAUUCAAGUGUCUCAAUUUGGACUUUCUGCCUGGCCCUUCACGGUGCUAUAGCUGUCCCUCAAAAGGCAACUUCUAUAGCUUCUCUUGGAGAACCAAAUCCGCCGAUGCAUUUUCAUUCAACCAACAACUCCUCUCAGAGCCUACAGUGGCGCUCAAUGGCUGGAGCGCGCUCCUGGCUAAUUGGUUUGAUUCAGUAAAGGAGGCUAUACGCUGGAUUUGUGAAACGUCCCGAGCGAGCUUUUCCCACGACUGGCCGGAUCUCUCCAUUCUAGUGUGUCACCAGACAAUUUAGAAUUUCCACUGGUCAACCCAGUGACAUAGGACCUACCAGUCCCUACUCUGAUAAUCUCGUCCUUAACCAAAACCGCAUCCCCUUGAUCUCUAUUGUGAGCUUUACAUUAUCCAAGUGUAGGCCGAUAUCUAAAUUCCUCCUCAUGUCUUUUAAUACUGAGAGUAGGCUAGUUGUUGAUGAUGGAAAUGAACAACUACUAUUAACUCACUUGAUUUGAACACGUCGUAUUCUGAUCAAUCUCAAUAUAUGUUUAAAAUAUCCAUCUAUUAUUAUUUAUUGUACCUUCACCUUUAUUCACUAACUGCUUCUGAUUGUACCUCUACAAAACUCAAAAUAAAAGCCUUGUGUCGACCUCCUCCAACCUGCCUAUCUGAAUCUCCUCAUCAAUAACUGUAAUGCAGGCUCUGGUCCAUACAAGUCCCAACAAAGAAGAAUGGAGACAUUAUCUAAUUCAACCACACCUAUCUCAUCACUCUAUUCUUCUCUAGGCCUAAUCCAUAUAAACGUGUCCUUGCCUGUUGUAGAAGAACCCUUGGCAUGACUAUUCUAUAACCCGACAAUGAUCAAAUUAAUUGUUGCUGAAUGUUAGUGAUGAGAAUUCAAGCGUAUUGUUUUAAUGGAUAUGUUUAGCUUUUUUGUUGUUGCACUGUUGCAUUGUAUUGCAUUUGGAAAUGUCUUUGUUAUUGUCAAAAGUUGAUCCAGUGCCCUUGUCACUGCAGUGGUUGCCUGAGAUACACCCACAAACUCUGCAGUAUGAACAACACAAACUGUCUACUAAAUGUGACUGCCAGCCAUUCACACCAGGUCUGGAUUGAGCAAGGGGAAAGUGGCACAGUCGUCACAAAAAAACAGAAAGCAGGAGGGUAAGAAAAAGACCAACCUCCUUGUCCCUCUUCCCUUAAAUCUCCAUCACCGGAAGCCUUUGGUGCCAUCUGUGCCCCCGGAGAAAAGGACGGGCGAGAUCCUCCACCCUGUGCCAACGGGGACAAAGGAGCUGCCAGUUAGAGCGGCCCCCCUCGCAGGCAGCAAGAGGACUCUGUGUGACUGACUGGGGCUGAGCUACGGAAGCCAUCUUGAUGGAGAGUCUUGCUGCUGCUCCUAAAAUGGCUGUGUUGGCAUGAGGUCCUGCAGGUGUUGACAACCUCCAGGCGAAGCCUCUUCCAUCAGCCCUGAGCCCUGGGCCCUGAGCCCUGGGCCCUGAACCCUGAGCCCUGGGCCCUUCCUCAUUGGCAUCCUCUCCAGUCAAACACUAAGAAAUGAGGGCACUGAAGAAUCGCCCCUAAAGUUAACAGACAAUGCUUGUAGAAAUUUACUGUAAGGACAAUGUUUGGAGAUAUUUACUGUAAGGACAAUGUCUGGAGAUAUUUACUGUAAGGACAAUGUUUGGAGAUAUUUACUGUAAGGACAAUGUUUGGAGAUAUUUGAAGACUUUGUUUGCAGAAGUUGCGCACAGAUUAUCUGCUGAUAUAUUGCACUUGGGUAAUCAAUGUUCUCUUCUCCCCGGCUGAGAAUGUAUAGUUUCAACAUAACUUUUAAUAUUACAGCAGAAUGUAAGACAAUGUGUGUAUGAUGUUAAAUAAAAGGGAUGUGAUCAACAUGUGUUCAUACUUUAAUGUAAAUAUGAUGAUGUGUGUGUGUGUGUGUGUGUGUGUGUGUGUGUGUGUGUGUGUGUGUGUGUGUGUGUGUGUGUGUGUGUGUGUGUGUGUGUGUGUGUGUGUGUGUGUGUGUGUGUGUGUGUGUGUGUGUGUGUGUGUGUGUGUGUGGUUUGGUCCCUAUUGUACUCUUUAGAGUACUCUGGAGUAUACUGGGCUUCAGAGAAGCACUACAGUGCCCUAAUGAGUGGGCUGCUUACAAGAGAAGCUCUCUGGAUGUCUAUCCUCUGUCAUGUGCAAUAAGUUACUUUAUGAAUAGAACUGACUACUCUAUGCAAAUAAAUGUGAAUGACUCACCCUCUGGCUGUAUUGCAAAUGUUGUUUAAUGUUUGACUGUCACAGUGAAAAGAAAGACAUUGUUUGGUGAAGAUUUCAUCCAUUUACUAUAUAUUCAUCAAAUGCUGCAUUUUUCCUAUUACAAAUAUUAUCUGCAUGUGUUCAUAGUGAUCAGGGAAUGUUCUACAUGAAAUGUGUUGGAUACAGUAUUGAAGCAGUCCGAUUAAUAGCUGUCUCAUUGCCUGAUUAUUAUUAUUAUCCUUAUUCUGAGAGAUAGACAGUUUUGAACAUACCUGCAAUAAAGAAAGGGACACAUACUUGUACACAAACGUCUUACAAAACGUGUUUUUGUAAUUGAGUUCUGACUUGUCAUGACUUCUGUGCUGUUUGAAUUGAAUGUGUAUACAGAAUAAAUAAUACAACAGAUGUCUAAAA